GAUGAACGCUGGCGGCGUGCCUAAUACAUGCCAGUCGAGCGAACGGACGAGAAGCUUGCUUCUCUGAUGUUAGCGGCGGACGGGUGAGUCACACGUGGAUAACCUACCUAUAAGACUUGGAUAACUUCGGGAAACCGGGGCUAAUACCGGAUAAUAUUUUGAACCGCAUUGUUCAAAAGUGAAAGACGGUCUUGCUUUCACUUAUAGAUUGAUCCGCACUGCAUUAGCUAGUUGUUAAGGUAACGGGUUACCCAGGCAACGAUGCAUAGCCGACCUGAGAGGGUGGUCGGCCACACUGGAACUGAGACACGGCCCAGACUCCUACGGGAGGCAGCAGUAGGGAAUCUUCCGCAAGGGGCGAAAGCCUGACGGAGCAACGCCGCGUGAGUGAUGAAGGUCUUCGGAUCGUAAAACUCUGUUAUUAGGGAAGAACAUAUGUGUAAGUAACUGUGCACAUCUUGACGGUACCUAAUCAGAAAGCCCCGGCUAACUACGUG
rnacentral:rRNA from 1 species